GUAGGUGAACCUGCGGAAGGAUCAUUAACAUUAAUCCAACCAUCUAAACCUAGCCUUAUGUACUGUAGCGGUUGUAGCUAGUUUAACGACAGGCUUAUGCAGCUACAGUAUCAAUCACAACUAAACAAAAGGAGUCUAACUAAGCUCUAAAACCAAAAUCAAAUUCUCAACGAUGGAUAUCUUGGUUCCCAUAACGAUGAAGAACGCAGCGAAGUGCGAUAAGCAGUGCGAAUUGCGGAACCGUGAGUCAUCAGAUCUUUGAACGCAAAUGGCGCUAGUUGGUUACCCAGCUAGCAUGCUUGUUUCAGUGUCUUGUUUUCUCAUCACCAACAUCUUAAUGUGAGAGAUAUCCUUCUCUUACUAAGUAUGAAAGUACACUGUACUUUGCAGGCAACUUUCGGGUUGCACUCAAUGCAGCGGUCACAUUUUAUAUGUGAACUCGUUGAGAGUAAAGACAGAAAGUGGUUUAAUUACUACUGGUAGUGCUUAGAGCUAACAAAACUCUACUUGUAUCUGAAAUCAAGCAGGAUCACCCGCUGAACUUAAGCAUAUCACUAAGCGGAGGAAAAGAAAUUAACUAAGAUUGCCUCAGUAACGGCGAGUGAAGCGGCAAAAGCCCAAAAUGGUAAUCUUCACCUUUCAGGUGACGAAUUGUAAUCUACAGGUGGGAUACUCAACUGGAAGUGAUGCAGAAGUACCCUAGAACGGGUCGCCAAAGAGGGUGACAGCCCCGUAUGUGGUGUCGCUUCCUAACGAGUACCUUUCGAAGAGUCGGGUUGUUUGGAAAUGCAGCCCUAAUUUGGAGAUACACUUCUUCUAAGGCUAAAUAUGUAUGGGAAACCGAUAGCGAACAAGUACUGUGAAGGAAAGAUGAAAAGAACUUUGAAAAGAGAGUCAAAAGACUUGAAAUCGUUGAGAAGGAAGCGGUAGAAAUUUAUUCUGCAGCUAGGAAUAAAGGUUGUCGCCUAAACAUUGUGGUAUCGAGUACUUCAACGGCUCGGUGCCACACCUGUGGAAGUGAUUGCUGGAUUCCUGGUAGUGAGGCAAAAUGGGGUUUCAUAUCCUCAAAAGCCUAGAUUACCUGGGGAGGUUCGCCUUCCAGUAGUUUUGUGCUCGUGGAUAUGAAGCCUGAGGAAGCUUAUGCGAUUUUGCUAAAAUGGUUUUUACCGACCCGUCUCGAAACACGGACCAAGGAGUCUAACAUAUAUGCGAGUGUGCUGGUGGAGAAACCAACACGCAUAAUGAAGGUAAUUGAUGCCAAGCGCAAGCAGCAGCAUCGACCGACCAUGAUCCUCCGGUGAAAGGUUUGAGUAAGAGCAUAUAUGCUAGGACCCGAAAGAUGGUGAACUAUGCCUGGGUAGGGUGAAGCCAGGGGAAACUCUGGUGGAAGCUCGAAGCGAUUCUGACGUGCAAAUCGAUCGUCGAACUUGGGUAUAGGGGCGAAAGACUAAUCGAACCAUCUAGUAGCUGGUUCCCUCCGAAGUUUCCCUUAGGAUAGCUGAGACAACAACGCAGUUUUAUCAGGUAAAGCGAAUGAUUAGAGGUAUCUGGGGUAAAUUGCCCUGGACCUAUUCUCAAACUUUAAAUUGGUAAGAACCUUGGCCUUUCUUAAUUGAGGCACAAGGGAUCAAUGCUUGUCUCAAGUGGGCCAUUUUUGGUAAGCAGAACUGGCGAUGAGGGUUGCUCCUAACGUUGAGUUAAGGUGCCAAACUACACGCUCAUCAGAAACUACAAAGGGUGUUGGUUCAUCCAGACAGCAGGACGGUGGCCAUGGAAGUCGGAACCCGCUAAGGAGUGUGUAACGACUCACCUGCCGAAUGGACUAGCCCCGAAAAUCGAUGGCGCUAAAGCGUGUGACCGAUACUCAACCAUUGUGGCGAGAGUGAGGCUACAAUGAGUAGGAGGGCGUGAACGUUGUUAAGAAGCCUCUGACGUGAGUCUGGGUUGAACAGCGUUUAGUGCAGAUCUUGGUGGUAGUAGCAAUUAUUCAAAUGAGAACUUUGAAGGCCGAAGUGGAGAAGGCUUCCGUGAGAACAGCAAUUGGUCACGGGUGACUCGAUCCUAAGACAUGGGGGAAAUCCUUGUUAAGUGCACCGUAUGGUGCGUAGUCGAAAGGGAAUGAGGUUAAUAUUCCUCAAGCUGGAUGUGGGUGUUGUAUGGUAACAUAAAUGAGCUCAGAAACGCCAGUGUGAGCCUCUGGAAGAGUUCUCUUUUCUUUUUAACAGGCUAACGACCUUGAAAUUGGAUUAUCCAGAGAUAAGGUGGUAUGCUUGGAAGAGCACCUUGCUUUUCGAGGUGUCAGGUGCGCUCACAAUGGUCCAUGAAAAUCUGAGUGAGAUAGCUUCACACCAGGUCGUACCCAUAACCGCAUCAGGUCUCCAAGGUU
rnacentral:rRNA from 1 species